rnacentral:rRNA from 1 species
GUGGGGAAUUUUGGACAAUGGGCGCAAGCCUGAUCCAGCAAUGCCGCGUGCAGGAAGAAGGCCUUCGGGUUGUAAACUGCUUUUGUACGGAACGAAACGGUCCGGGUUAAUACCCUGGGUGGAUGACGGUACCGUAAGAAUAAGCACCGGCUAACUUCGUGCCAGCAGCCGCGGUAAUACGAAGGGUGCAAGCGUUAAUCGGAAUUACUGGGCGUAAAGCGUGCGUAGGUGGUUGUUCAAGUCUGUCGUGAAAGCCCUGGGCUCAACCUGGGAAGUGCAUUCGUGACUGCAAGGCUAGAGUGUGUCAGAGGGAGGUGGAAUUCCGCGUGUAGCAGUGAAAUGCGUAGAGAUGCGGAGGAACACCGAUGGCGAAGGCAGCCUCCUGGGAUAACACUGACGCUCAGGCACGAAAGCGUGGGGAGCAAACAGGAUUAGAAACCCGUGUAGUCC